AUCACCAAGGACAUGCACGAGCGCAAGCAACUGAUGUUCGAGCACUCCGACGCGUUCGUCGCGUUUCCCGGCGGCGUCGGCACGCUGGAAGAACUGGUCGAGCAGAUGACGUGGUCGCAGCUCGGCCGCCACAGCAAGCCGAUCCUGCUCGCCAAUAUCGAGGGGUUCUGGAAUCCCCUGCUCGCGCUGAUCGAUCACAUGAAGCAGACGGCGUUCAUCCGCGCCAACCUGUGGGUCGAUGUUCUGACCGCCGAUCGCGUCGAGGACAUUCUCCCGACGCUUCAGAAGGUCGCUGCGCAAGUGCCCGAAGCGGCCAAGCUGAUGGAC
rnacentral:misc_RNA from 1 species